CAGCAGUGAGGAAUAUUGGUCAAUGGACGAGAGUCUGAACCAGCCAAGUAGCGUGAAGGAUGACUGCCCUAUGGGUUGUAAACUUCUUUUAUAUGGGAAUAAAGUUUUCCACGUGUGGAAUUUUGUAUGUACCAUAUGAAUAAGGAUCGGCUAACUCCGUGCCAGCAGCCGCGGUAAUACGGAGGAUCCGAGCGUUAUCCGGAUUUAUUGGGUUUAAAGGGAGCGUAGGUGGAUUGUUAAGUCAGUUGUGAAAGUUUGCGGCUCAACCGUAAAAUUGCAGUUGAAACUGGCAGUCUUGAGUACAGUAGAGGUGGGCGGAAUUCGUGGUGUAGCGGUGAAAUGCUUAGAUAUCACGAAGAACUCCGAUUGCGAAGGCAGCUCACUAGACUGCAACUGACACUGAUGCUCGAAAGUGUGGGUAUCAAACAGGAUUAGA
rnacentral:rRNA from 1 species